GCGCCCAUAGCUCAACUGGAUAGAGUACUUGACUACGAAUCAAGCGGUUAGAGGUUCGACUCCUCUUGGGCGCG
rnacentral:tRNA from 1 species